GUCGAGAAUAAUUCACAAUGGGGGAAACCCUGAUGGUGCAACGCCGCGUGGAGGAUGAAGGUCUUCGGAUUGUAAACUCCUGUCAUCUGGGAGUAAGACCUGACGGUGAAUAGCCGGCAGGGUUGAUAGUACCAGAAGAGGAAGGGACGGCUAACUUCGUGCCAGCAGCCGCGGUAAUACGAAGGUCCCAAGCGUUGUUCGGAAUCACUGGGCGUAAAGGGAGCGUAGGCGGCGUGGUAAGUCAGAUGUGAAAUCCCGGGGCUCAACCCCGGAACUGCAUCCGAUACUGUCAUGCUUGAGGGUUGGAGAGGUAGCUGGAAUUCUCGGUGUAGCAGUGAAAUGCGUGGAUAUCGAGAGGAACACUCGUGGCGAAGGCGAGCUACUGGACAACAUCUGACGCUGAGGCUCGAAGGCCAGGGGAGCAAAAGGGAUUAGAUACCCUGGUAGUCC
rnacentral:rRNA from 1 species